rnacentral:tRNA from 1 species
GGACUAUUAGUUCAUUGGUAGAACAAUCGUCUCAUAAGCGAAGAGUAAUAGGUUCGAUUCCUAUAUAGUCCA